rnacentral:misc_RNA from 1 species
CAUGAGUUGCUUGCCCUCACGGUAGACCUCCCUAACCAUUGUGAACGAUACCUUGUUGCUUUGGCAGGCCGGGCUGGCGGGAGGAACUGCAGGCUACCGCGUGCCUGCAGCAGAACCAACUUCUGUAUGGUCAUCGUCUGAGUUAGCUAUUAUAAUAGUCUA